UACGGAGGGGACUAGCGUUGUUCGGAAUUACUGGGCGUAAAGGGCGCGUAGGCGGCCUUGUAAGUCCUGUGUGAAAUCCCCCGGCUCAACUGGGGAACUGCACAGGAGACUGCUUGGCUUGAGUUCGGGAGAGGGAAGCGGAAUUCCGGGUGUAGCGGUGAAAUGCGUAGAUAUCGGAAGGAACAUCAGUGGCGAAAGCGACUUCCUGGACCAAUACUGACGCCCAUGUGCGAAAGCGUGGGGAGCAAACAGG
rnacentral:rRNA from 1 species